AUUAUGAGUUUGUUCGGACCCCACCUGUUCCUGUUCUUUCUUUUUCUCUCUCCUCUAGGUCUUUCUCUUUCUCUACCUCUUUCUUUUUUCACUUUCAUUCUCUUUCCUUUUUCUUCUCCCAGCCCGUGUGGCAGGAGCAAGCGUCAGAGGGCGCCGGAGCGGGCGGCGGCGCGGCUGGCCACGGGGAGGCGGAAGAUGGUGGC
rnacentral:lncRNA from 1 species